rnacentral:rRNA from 1 species
GACAGAGGUGCCAAGCGUUAGGCGGAAUCACUGGGCUUAAAGCGUGUGUAGGCGGACCGUUAAGUACCUUGUGAAAUCCCCCGGCUCAACCGGGGAACUGCUGGGUAUACUGGCGGUCUUGGGCCACUCAGGGGCAGAUGGAACAGACGGUGGAGCGGUGAAAUGCGUAGAUAUCGUUUGGAACGCCAAUGGUGAAAACAGGUAACUGGGGAUGUGCCGACGCUGAGACACGAAAGCCAGGGGAGCGAACGGG